GAUGAACGCUAGCUACAGGCUUAACACAUGCAAGUCGCGGGGCAGCAUGGGGGUUGCUUGCAAUCCCCGAUGGCGACCGGCGCACGGGUGAGUAACGCGUAUCCAACCUGCCCUUCACCACGGGAUAACCCGGCGAAAGUCGGACUAAUACCGUAUGUUGUCCAUUGACGGCAUCCGAUUUGGACGAAAGGUUUGGCGGUGAAGGAUGGGGAUGCGUCCGAUUAGCUGGACGGCGGGGUGACGGCCCACCGUGGCGACGAUAGGUAGGGGUUCUGAGAGGAAGGUCCCCCACACUGGAACUGAGACACGGUCCAGACUCCUACGGGAGGCAGCAGUGAGGAAUAUUGGUCAAUGGGCGUAAGCCUGAACCAGCCAAGUAGCGUGCAGGAUGACGGCCCUAUGGGUUGUAAACUGCUUUUAUGCGGGGAUAAAGUGGCCCACGUGUGGGUUUUUGCAGGUGCCGCAUGAAUAAGGACCGGCUAAUUCCGUG
rnacentral:rRNA from 1 species